CCUUUCGGAGAUAGAGAAAGCAGAGGUCACAAGUUAAGGAGCAAGAGCGCAGCGGCGGCGGUCGUGCUCUCCUCACCGUCCCCUGUUUUGAGUGCUUCUUUUCGUUCUCUUUUUCCGUUUGUAGCCACGUGGGAUUAUCUGGCCUUGCGCGGUUGCGUGCGCAGCUCGACAUGGACCCUUUUCAGCGAACGGCCGAUGUCCCGCGCCACGCCUUUCGCAUUGUGCCAAUGACACACCUCACCUCCACGACCGGGGCCAAGCCGUCUGAGUCCACCUGGUCCUUCCCUGACGGGAGCGCGUCUUCGUCCUCUGCCAUCGGUGCACUGCCCUUUGGCGGCCUCGCCGCAGGGGUCCUUCAGAGCGACACUGCUGCAUGGAUACAGUCAAGCUUUCAUAAGCUGCCAGAGAGCGAGGAAACGACGCGAAAUCUACAGAAGUGGCGUCAGUUCGGACUUCAGAUUGGGUCGGCGGCGGCUUCGCAGCCAUCACCGCCACCAGAACAGCAGCAGCCACAGGCCACCGCCCGUCUUCGCCCCGAGGAAAGCGCCGACGACAAGGACGGGGUCCAACUGCUACACGAGUGCCGCCAGAACGGAGCUGCAGCGCCGGCUCUCCUAUCGCAUAGCGGCCCAAGCAGCACACGUAUCCAUGCGUGGCGUAUCGCCGACGCCUCCUCCAAAGAACGAGCGGCAGUGAACUCUGCUCACGACGACUACUACGUCUUCGUGAGCGACGAUGACGAGCGCGGCGCGAAUGGUGGUAGUGCGGCGUGCCAACGGCAAACCGAGGCGACCCCGCCACACAGCGCGCCGCGCACCCGCAUCCCUGGUCCGGCGCUGGUCACGCUGCCCGAGCAUGCCCCCGACACAAGCGACGUCGCCGGCACCGACGCCAUCUUUCGACUGCAGGUGGAGCUGGCAAAACUAUCAGAAAAGGUGCAGCACAGUACCGAGGAGCAAAGGUGUGGGCCUCCAAGGCGCAACGGCAGCGUCAGUGGCGACGGCGGAUCAUCCAUGUGGGCAGCGAAGCGCGGGGGCGGCAAGAAACGGAAGAGGGAUGCGAAGACAACUCACAACGAUGACGGCAACGAGGAGGCGGAAGCAAACGUGGGCAGCGAACGAGUCGAGACCGGCGCCGUCAUGCAAGACCAGAGUGCGUCUAGCAGCGGCGCUCGAAGCAAGCCAACAGCACGGAGGCGCGAUGGUGCUGGCACGAAUACCGCUGCUGGCACUUCCGGUGCGAAAAGAAAGCCGAAGACGAGGAAGCGGGGUGGGGGCGACGCAAUCCUCCCCGGUGCCUUGGGUCCCUCUGUGUGUGCGACGCCAGCUCCGCGCACGCUUUUCUCUCUGACAUCUACCGAAGCUGUCGGGGGUGCGAUGGCGGAGCUGCAGGGUGGACCCACUGCGGCGGCCAUGGUCUCUGUCCCCUACAUCUACCUGCAGGAAUCGGCCGAGGAGCUGUUCAGCGACGUGCGCCGGGCCCUCAACGAUCCGGAUCGCAUUCAAGCACCACCUCUGUUUGUCGGUGUUUCGGCACUCAGUAGCAAUAGCAACGCGGCAGCGGCGCUCGCGAGUGUGGAGACUCGCACGAACUUUACCUAUUACAGCAGCGGCGCCAAGACGGCGAAGCGCCGCGUGUCGUGCUGUUUCUCUUCCCUCGACCCCGUGCGUAGCCACCAGCACGUGGAGCUUGUUCUGAUACGGUGGAAAGACGACAUGUACGCGCUGCCGGCACAGACCGUUGGCUUGGCGUUUCUGUGCCGCGUCCUCAUAGAGCUACCCGGGGUGGAGCUCAUUACCUUCAAUGCGCAGGUGCUCCUGGUGGCGCUACUCGCUUACUGCAAGGGGACAUUGUGGUCGAACUGUGUCAGCGACGUGCGCGUGAUGGCGUGGAUGGCUCAGCUGCACGUGGCAAGUACUCUGUCGAAGGCUCCGUCCGCCGUGCGCGCUUUAGCGGGGGGAGGCUCCGCCGCUGCCGCGGACGGGGCGAGUGACGCGGACACGAGCGUUCUCUACGACUACAGUCAGCUGCUCUUGCACGUUUGCGGCGGGAAGCUGCCGCCGACAGUGCAGCUGGAGAGCAUGAGCAACGCGGGGUGCUUCUCGCACUCAACAAUCAACUUGGCCGAAGGCAUCGGGACUGCCGCCGCCGCCGCCGCCGCAGCAGCAGCAGCAGCCCCCGCGCCGCCCCUGACGUCCGCACAGUGCCAGCUAGCCCAUCAAGUGUACUACUUGGCCACCGUGUACCGCAGUCUUUACGGUCUGCUGGGCAGCAAAGGGCUCCUGCAAGCGUUCCUGCGGCAGGAGAAGCGGAUUGCGCUGCUGCUGGCGCUUCUCAAGUACAAUGGCAUGCGCGUGGAUCUGCACGAGGUUCACCGCUAUCAGAAGAGCUGCGAGGCGGAGAUGGCACGGCAGCGCCAACUUGCCAGCAAGCUCGUCCCGGAGCUCGGCGAGGACUUCAAUAUUCAGAGCCACGAUCAGUGCCGCAGGGCACUCUACGAGGUGCUUCAGCUGGGCAAAUACUUGCUCAAAUCCGGAAAUGGCGAAGCCGUCGGUGCCACGGGGCUCACAAUCACAAAAGGGGGGCGGCUGUCGACGGCGGAGGACACACUGCGUGCCCUCGCCCGGCAUCACGAGUUUCCUGCGUGCUUGUUGCGCUAUCGAAAGGUGUCGAAGCUGAUGCAGACAUACAUCGAAGGGAUGAUGGGCUACGCCGUGGUGCACUCUAGCGCACAAGCAAGCCCAGCUCCUUGUCUCGACAGCGUUAACGCUGAGACGGGGGCCAGUGAGAGCACGAAAGGGCAGCAGCAGGCGCACGGUAAUGAUGAGGGCGCCAAGGCCGUGUCGCCACUGUUUAUAAGAGAAGCGGUGGACGUGAACGGCGACAGCCCGUUUGUGGAUCGCCAGCUUCACACGAGCAGCAGCGGAUACAGCGCUGGCAGCGCCGAGCCAAUGCCAGCACGAAAUCAACGGAGCAGCCGCGAGGAGGCAAGUGCGACGCCGGCGGGCGAGGUCAUUCUUCCUGCAAGGGGGUACGCCACGCUGCACCCAAACUUUCUUCAGGAGGGUACUGACACUGGACGGCUUUCCUGCGUUGAGCCGAAUCUUCAGAAUCUUCCACGUAAUGGCAUCGCAGCCGCCGUGGCAGGCAACGACGCCGAGGAGGACGGCGAGGAAGACCUCUUGGGUUUUCGGCGCUGCUUCGUCGCCACUGGCGGAUGCGUGCUCUUGUCCAUUGAUUACGAACAGAUCGAGCUACGCGUACUAGCGCACCUGUGCGGCGACGCCGCGCUCGUAGACGCGCUGACGACAUCGGCAGAUAUUCACCGGGCGAUCGCCGAAGUGGUCUUCAAGAAGAAGCCCGUAAGCACUGAGGAGCGCAGUCUAGCCAAGCGCGUCGUCUUUGGUGUGCUCUACGGCGCCGGCCCAAAGACGCUCGCGACGCACAUGGGCGUUACGGUUGAUCGGGCGCUGCACAUCACCUCGUUGCUGACAAACGCCUUCCCCGGCAUCGACGCGUAUCACCGCCGCGUCAUCGAGGAAGCCCGCGCCAAUGGGUUCGUGCGCACUCUCAGCGGUCGCCUGAGGUACCUGCCGGACAUCCGCAGCACGGUGCUCUCGCGACGGUCGUACGCGGAGCGGCAGGCCUUCAACAGCGUCGUGCAGGGCAGCGCCGCAGACGUGAUGAAGAUGGCGAUGCUUGCCGUGUCAAAGGAGGUGCUGCAGCGCUACGAUCGCUCCGACGUGUCCCUGCUUUCGCAGAUCCACGACGAGAUGGUCUUCAUGGUGCGCAAGGAGCUGCUCCCGAUGGUGGUGCCGCUGGUGUCCUCAGCGAUGUCGCACGCCAUGCAGUUGCUCGUACCGCUGAGUGUGACGGCCAAGUUCGGCGAUUCGCUGGGUAACUUGCAGGAGUGGUCCGUGGAGCACGACCUAGGCGUGAUGUAGACGUGUAGCAGUGCGCCGAUAGCGUGCGCGCGCAUGUGCAUGAGAAAUAACGAGGAGGGGGAUCGGGCGGGGAGGUGCGAGCCCUUCUUCAGAACUCGCGGCAUUGCUGCUGCUGCUGUUUCUCUGCAAUUCAUUCAUCAUCUCUUCGAUUUGCAGAUGCGGGCUUUCUUCUUUGUAAGGGUGCCACUGCGCGGAUCAGCGCAGACACACGCAGACAUAUCUGCUCUUUUGUACAGGGAAAAACUCAAACAAACGUUGGUCUUGAUCUCCUUGAAGACGACGGCGCUCGACAGACCAUCAGCGAUGUAUGUGCGCUCUCCUCCUUCAGCGACGAGACGAGCUCGGCAAGGCACCGGGCCGGUCCACCGUAACAUCCCCGUAAGCUCUUUCCUAUGUGUAUUCCGUGUUUUCUUUUUCUGCGUUUUUUUACCCCCUUCCUGUGCACCUCCUUCCUGGCCUACGGUUCUGCCAUCAUCGCACCCUGCCGGCCAACGCGUGUGGAG
rnacentral:misc_RNA from 1 species